ACACUGCUGAGGAGUCCCACAAUAGGACGAAAGGGGCCAUCCAGUGU
rnacentral:hammerhead_ribozyme from 1 species